CGGCUGUGGAGACAACACACUGGGUUAGAGGGAGGGGACGCCCCGCCAGGUGAGCGUCCCGCCAGGUGAACGCCCCGCCAGGUGAGCGCCCCGCCA